rnacentral:misc_RNA from 1 species
GAUGCAAAAGUUAGGUUACGUCUGAGUGUCGCAGUACUUAUUAAACAGGUGUGGAUUAGUCUACGCAGCAACAGCAUUCAAUCUCUUAAUAAUAUAUUGAAGUAACAAAAUUUAUUAUAAACACAAGACCUAAAAGUAUCUCGAGUUGUAUAUGUUUAGUUUCUUAUACUGCUAACAAUUUAAAUAAUCACUCAAAUAAACAAAACUAAUUUAAAGUUCUAGAGGAAUUGAUAAGCAAAUACAUAUUCUUUUCUAACAAAGACGACGUAGAACUUUUAUAUUGUAACAAUGACUGAAGAACGUCUGGAUUUGAUAAUAUUUGGAGCAACAGGUUUUACAGGAAAAUAUACUGUUCAAGAAGCUGUUAAAUUAGGUAAAACAAAUCAAUUCACAUGGGGAGUCGCUGGAAGAAAUAAAGAACGCUUGCAAGAAGUGAUCAAAAAUUAUGCUUCUGAUGCCGAAGGAACCAUACCAAUAAUUGUUGCGGAUGUAAAAGAUAAUGAUUCGUUGAAAAAAAUGGCUCAGAAAUGUAAAAUUGUUGUCAAUUGUUGUGGACCAUACAGAUUUUUUGGUGAACCAGUAGUAAAAGCUUGUAUUGAAACUAAAACCCAUUAUGUGGAUGUAAGCGGUGAACCUCAAUUUAUAGAAACAAUGCAGCUUAAAUAUAACAAAGCAGCUCAAGAAGCAGGAGUAUACAUAAUAAGUGCUUGCGGCUUUGAUAGUAUUCCAUGUGAUCUAGGAGUAAUUUUUGUCCAAAAAAAUUUCAAUGGUGAUGUGAACAGCGUUGAAACAUAUUUGUCUUCUUGGGUUGAUGGUAGAUCCGAAGGUGCAGCCGUUCAUUACGGAACUUGGGAGUCAGCAGUUUAUGGUGUAGCACAUUCUUCUGAAUUACGAGAUUUACGAGCUAAAAUUUAUCCUCAAAAGUUACCUCAAUUUCAACCAAAGUUGUUGCCUAGAGGAAUUAUUCAUUACAGUGAAGUAUCAAAUCAAUGGUCUCUCCCAUUUCUAGGUACUGAUCGUUCUGUGGUAUACAGAUCUCAACGCUUCCUCUAUGAAAAAAAACACAUUCGACCAGCACAAAUUCAAACUUAUGUUUCAUUCAGCUCUUUAAUGUCUGUAAUAUCAAUUACAUGUGUAGGCAUAAUGUUUGCUUUAAUGACAAAAUGUAGAUGUGGUCGGUACUUACUUCUUAAGUAUCCACGAUUUUUUUCUGGCGGUUUUGCAAGUCAUGAAGGACCAAAACCGGAAGUAAUGUCUAGAACCCACUUUUCAAUAACUUUGAAAGCUAGUGGAUGGAAAGAAAAACUUGCUGAUCCUACUGACAAACAUGUUAAUUCACCUGAUAAAGAAAUGAUUGCUCGAGUAUCUGGAAUUAAUCCUGGAUACGGAGCAACUUGCGCUAUGUUGAUGAUAUCUGCACUUAUAGUUCUUCGAGAAUCUGAUAAAAUGCCAGACAAUGGUGGUGUUUUACCCCCAGGAGCAGCAUUCGAAAAUACUUCUAUGAUACAGAAUUUGCAACAGAAUGGUGUUAGCUUCGAAAUAUUGAAAACAACUGAAAAGUGAAAGUUUAGCUAUUAAAAGCAACUGUAUUAUUCAUUAGCCAUACUACAAAAUAUUGAAGACACUUAAGUAAACGAAUAUCGUGACUAUGUAGGAAGCCUUUUAGGCAAUAUUCUUCGCUCUCGAUGCUACCAGUUGACUACUACUCGUCGUUUGGCGCCUCUGGGUUGAGUGGUGUCCGGGAUGCCGGCUGCUUGUCUCGUGGCUGCAAUUCCCCCUUCCAUCGCUCGGUUCUCCCGCCUAUUCCUACGAUCAGCUAUCCUGAUGUUGAUGGGCUGAAACUCGUAAUCGAGUAUGAGUUUCCGUGGAUAAGGUGGAGAUGAGCCCAAGACACAUCGUUGGUCGAUGCUCUUAUCUGUUGGUCGAGCCCAACAAGUCAAAAUGUUUUUAAUAAUUAUGUACUAUAUAUACUGGCAGAUUUUUUAUUGUUUUGUUAUUUUUUAAAUAAUCAUUUGUAUUUGUUUUAGCUUAAUAAAAACGAUAUAAACAUCAAAAAA